rnacentral:rRNA from 1 species
GACGAACGCUGGCGGCGUGCUUAACACAUGCAAGUCGAACGGAAAGGCCCAGCUUUUGUGGGGUGCUCGAGUGGCGAACGGGUGAGUAACACGUGAGUAACCUGCCCUUGACUUUGGGAUAACUUCAGGAAACUGGGGCUAAUACCGGAUAGGAGCUCCUGCUGCAUGGUGGGGGUUGGAAAGUUUCGGCGGUUGGGGAUGGACUCGCGGCUUAUCAGCUCGUUGGUGGGGUAGUGGCUUACCAAGGCUUUGACGGGUAGCCGGCCUGAGAGGGUAACCGGCGACAUUGGGACUGAGAGACGGCCCAGACUCCUACGGGGGGCAGCAGUGGGGAAUAUUGCACAAUGGGCGGAAGCCUGAUGCAGCAACGCCGCGUGCGGGAUGACGGCCUUCGGGUUGUAAACCGCUUUCGCCUGUGACGAAGCGUGAGUGACGGUAAUGGGUAAAGAAGCACCGGCUAACUACGUG